rnacentral:tRNA from 1 species
GGCUCGUUGGUCUAGGGGUAUGAUUUCUCGUUUCGGGUGCAGAGGUCCCGGGUUCAAUCCCGGACGAGCCC